rnacentral:tRNA from 1 species
GGUUUUAUGGUGUAGUGGUUAGCACGAUGCUUUACACGCAGAAGGUCCUGGGUUCGCGCCCCAUUAGAGCCA